rnacentral:rRNA from 1 species
CGCUGGCGGCGUGCCUAACACAUGCAAGUCGUGCGAGAAAGUUCCUUCGGGAGCGAGUAAAGCGGCGCACGGGUGAGUAACACGUAGGUAACCUGCCCCCCAGUCUGGAACAACUAGAGGAAACUCUAGCUAAUGCCGGAUGAGACCACGAUCCCUUCGGGGGUUGCGGCCAAAGAUGGCCUCUACUUGUAAGCUAUCGCUGAGGGAUGGGCCUGCGGGCCAUUAGCUUGUUGGUGAGGUAACGGCUCACCAAGGCUGUGAUGGCUAGCUGGUCUGAGAGGAUGACCAGCCACACUGGGACUGAGACACGGCCCAGACUCCUACGGGAGGCAGCAGUAGGGAAUAUUGCGCAAUGGGCGAAAGCCUGACGCAGCGACGCCGCGUGGGUGAUGAAGGCCUUCGGGUCGUAAAGCCCUGUCGCAGGGGAAGAAUAAGCAUCGGUAUAAUACGCCGGUGCCCUGACGGUACCCUGCAAGAAAGCACCGGCUAACUCCGUG